CUUGGUCAUUUAGAGGAAGUAAAAGUCGUAACAAGGUUUCUGUAGGUGAACCUGCAGAAGGAUCAUUAGAUUGUAUUUAGGGGGGGGGAGCAUGCUCUCUCUCUUCCCAACUUUCGAUCCACCAUAACCACACACAUGUGCAUACACACACACACACACUACUAUAAGUGGGAUUCACACACACGGUAUUUUAGAGUGUUUAAAAACCCAAAUCCUCCAAAGUGGGGUGAAAGUUAAAUACAACUUUCGGCAAUGGAUCUCUUGGUUCUCCUAUCGAUGAAGAACGCAGCGAAUUGCGAUAAGUAAUGUGAAUUGCAGAAGUCAGUGAAUCAUUGAAUUUUUGAACGCAUCUUGUGCCCUUUGGUAUUCCUUAGGGCAUGCCUGUUUGAGUGUCAUGAAUAUCAUUUGGACCAGGUCUUUUUUAUUGACUUGACUCCAGCUUUGAGUGUUUGCCUUGCACUUUGAUUAGUUGCCUGGCUCACUUUAAAUACAUUAGCUGGGCUUGGCUGCUUUGCAACCUAUGGUAUGAUAAGUAUUAUGCUGCAGGUUCAAAGUUAAAAAAGCCGCCUGCUUCCUAAUCUAGGGGCAGUGUCGCCAUGUGUCGAUGCUUUUGCCUACAAAAUUAUUCUAAUCUGGCCUCAAAUCAGGUAGG
rnacentral:rRNA from 1 species